UUCAGUGAAGGAACCACUGUCAUAUUCUAGAUAGGAAUACCUGUCUAUGUUUGUGUUGUGUAACAAAAAGCGUUUGUUAAGCGUUGUCUAAGUGCUUGUUGCCAUCGAUAGAGGUUCCAUCGUUGCCAUGAUGCCAGAAUAGCAGCCUAAACUAGAGCUCCUGUAAAUUUGUAAAUAUUGAAUCAUUUUUAACUACUUUUGAUUGCAUUUUUGUUUUUGUUAGCUAAUAGGUAUCAGCAUGGCAUGGCUGGCAAGUCAGUUGGUUUUGCCUAACUCAUGUGUCACUGUCAUCAAGAACUUCAGCUAGCUAACGUCCUAGAAAACUAGCUAGCUAGCUAUGUUUUGAUUCACAGUAAGGGGAUGGUGUUUGUAGAUGGCAGGCUCGUUGAAGAUGCUGAAGUUUAAGUUUUGAACAGUUUUCUCCAGUGGUUAACUUCAAGGCGGACUAUUCUGGACUGAUGUGCAGUUUGCUUUUCUGGCACCUUUGCGGCUUUUGAUUCUUCACCCAGGUGGAUGCUACACAUUGGUAGUGGUGGAGUUCUACCCAUGGUGUCUGACUUCAGAGACUACUACUGAGAAGCGCUGCUUCAGCGACCGUGAGCUCUUUUCUAACAGUUGGAGGAGAGGAAAAUGGACUGUGCCGACUGGGCAGUUUACACAGCUCCUAAAACAACAGGCCUGCUGGGAAAUGGGAAUUUUGCGCCUCCUCCCCCUCUGCAACUUCCCAAGCUGACUGACUGGCUUCUUCAAGGUGUACAUGGGGACAUUAGGCACCCUUGCCUUAUGCCCCCAGGUCAGAGUUGAGUUAAUGAACAGACUGUCUAUGUUAGUUCUCAACAUUAAGGUUGCCUCCUAUCUGUCAACUGACAAAUGGAUUACAUAAACAUUCAGUGUGUUUGUUAUGUGGUUUAUCGUGAGUUUGCCCCAUUUAUGUUUGCAAUAUUCAUGUGGAGACAAAGGCCUUCCUAAGUAACUAUAACCAGAAGUAGGAUUACCAUUUCUUUCAACUCUGAACCUUUGUGUUCUCUUCUUUCCUCCCCUGCUCUUUCCAUUUCUUCAUUUCAGUGGCUCUGAGAUGUCUCUCUGUCUCCUGAUCUUUUUCAAUCUUAUGUUUACUAAAACACUUAGAGCCGCACUCUGUUCCGCCGUUCUGGACCUCUCUCCGACCCCGUACCCAGUCAGUUAGAACCUGCACGCUCCGAUUCCCAUCCCCGGGCUUAUCUGUCCUCCAGGCAGCUCGGAAUGCCAGUUUUCAUGGACAUUACUGGCUACAAGUGGACUUGAGUUGGAAAGGUCAGGUUAGACUCAGGACUGUGCAGAUAGUUAAUGCAUUACUAAAUAGUUAAACAAAUUUAUACACAUAGAAAGUCAAAUUAUAGACUCAAAUUAGAUGAGUCAUAUAUGGACUCAACCCAGAGGUCACCUGCUGUCACUUGACUCAUGCGUGUGCGUGCACACACACACACAAAAAUAUACACACGCAUACAGUACACACACAUAAACAGAGUUUGACUGAUGCCUGAUGCUCCAAGUUUCACUAGCGAUGUUCCCUUAAACCAGAGGCUUCCCUCUGUCAUUACUAAGGAAUCCACCAACGCAGGCUCCGGCAGGAAUAUUGUAUUUAAAGACGGUAAUGUUGGGCCUGCCUCUCUGCCUGGUCCAGUCCGUCUACUAGGGAAAGUGUGAUUUAAGAGGACCUCAUUUAACGUGGGGCGUAGGAUACAGGAAUGGGACAUAGGACACAGGAAUGGGGUGUAGGAUACAGGAAUCGGGUGACAGACACAUGAAUGGGGCGUAGGGGUGUGUGUUACUAUGUGCUUAUUCAUUCACAGACUAGGGAAGGGUUCCCAAAUCUAAAUUUUGAAUCCAAAUAAUCUAAAUAUUUGAAUGAUAUAAAUACUGUAAGUAAGCAAGUUAGGGUUGCACACCUUUCUCUUUAACAAUAUUUUGAAAUAUCAUCUGUUUUUCCAUAGCCUUAUACUUCUACAUUUUUACUUAAAUGUAGUAAUUCUGGAAACUAACCACACUCUUGAGCUUUUCCACACUGAAAACUCCCUAUUCACUGGUGGAAUAGAUAUUUUCAAUCACUACAUUGGCUUGCGUUGAAAUGUAAUCAGAGUAAAGGGUAGGCCUAAACACUUUUAACAAUUCAUUCUCCUAGAACACCAUGUGCAAGUUCACCACAGGAGCAUAUAGCUCCACUGGAACAAGAUUUAUGGGGUUAGAGACUUGUUCGUCACCCCCUCUUUUUAACCUUUUAUUUACUCUGCAUUCCUCCCAGUAUUUUUGUAUACAUUUUAUUAUAACCUUUAUUUAACUAGGUAUUACCCUGUAAUUUCUGCGCUGUCUCUCCCUCUUUCUCCCCAUUGAUUUGUUUGCGCCAGAAAUAGAGGUCAGAGGGAAGCGUGGGCGCCAAGAGCACGUGAGACAGAAAAACAUGGCUAUACUUACCGCCAGGGAAAAUCCUGGAUGCUUUUUGUGAAGUUGGAGAUUAACAUGCUUGGAAGAACACAUCACACAGUCCCUCUUCAUUUGAAGUAAAGUGAUUAGAUGAGAGUGAAGACAGAAAGGAAAUACAUAAUAAACUCUUUGAGAUUGUAAUUAAAAGUUUAUUAUGAUUAUAAUAUAAUGGAAUGAAAAUGCCUUUACACUCUUAAUGCUGGGUGCAUAAUAAAAGUGUCGUAAUAUU